rnacentral:rRNA from 1 species
CUACGGGAGGCACCAGUGGGGAAUAUUGCACAAUGGACGAAAGUCUGAUGCAGCGAUUCUGCGUGGAGGAUGAAGCAUUACGGUGUGUAAACUCCUUUUUUGGUAGAAGACGAAUGACGGUAUACCAAGAAUAAGGGACGGCUAACUAUGUGCCAGCAGCCGCGGUAAUACAAUAGGUCCCAAGCGUUAUCCGGAUUUACUGGGCGUAAAGUGUCCGUAGCCUGAUACGUAAGUCUGUUUUCAAAUACUAUGGCUCAACCAUAGAGAGGGAAUAGAUACUGCGUAUCUGGAAGUUAAUGGGGGUUAGUGGAAUUUCAGGUGGAGCGGUGAAAUGCGUUGAUAUCUGAAAGAACGCCAAAAGCGAAAGCAGCUAACUACAUUAAACUUGACGGUAAGGGACGAAAGCUUGGGGAGCGAACGGGAUUAGAUACCCCAGUAGUC